UAAGGAAUAUUGGUCAAUGGAGGCAACUCUGAACCAGCCAUGCCGCGUGCAGGAAGACGGCCCUCUGGGUUGUAAACUGCUUUUAUUCGGGAAUAAACCUAUCUACGUGUAGAUAGCUGAAUGUACCGAAGGAAUAAGGAUCGGCUAACUCCGUGCCAGCAGCCGCGGUAAUACGGAGGAUCCAAGCGUUAUCCGGAUUUAUUGGGUUUAAAGGGUGCGUAGGCGGCCUAUUAAGUCAGGGGUGAAAGACGGUAGCUCAACUAUCGCAGUGCCCUUGAUACUGAUGAGCUUGAAUGAACUAGAGGUAGGCGGAAUGUGACAAGUAGCAGUGAAAUGAAUAGAUAUGUCACAGAACACCGAUUGCGAAGGCAGCUUACUAUGGUUUUAUUGACGCUGAGGCACGAAAGCGUGGGGAUCAAACA
rnacentral:rRNA from 1 species